CGGCGUGCCUAACACAUGCAAGUCGAGCGGGGACAUUCGACGGACCGGAAGUUUCGGAUGGAAGGGAAGAUGAAUGUCUAGCGGCGGACGGGUGAGUAACGCGUGAGCAACCUGCCUUAUACAGGGGGAUAACAGUUAGAAAUGACUGCUAAUACCGCAUAAGCGCACAGUAUCGCAUGAUACAGUGUGAAAAGCCGAGACGGUAUAAGAUGGACCCGCGUCUGAUUAGCCAGUUGGCAGGGUAACGGCCUACCAAAGCAACGAUCAGUAGCCGGCCUGAGAGGGUGAACGGCCACAUUGGGACUGAGACACGGCCCAAACUCCUACGGGAGGCAGCAGUGGGGGAUAUUGCACAAUGGGGGAAACCCUGAUGCAGCGACGCCCGCGUGAGCGAUUGAAGUAUUUCGGUAUGUAAAGCUCUAUCAGCAGGGAAGAAAAUGACGGUACCUGACUAAGAAGCUCCGGCUAAAUACGUGCCAGCAGCUGC
rnacentral:rRNA from 1 species